rnacentral:rRNA from 1 species
GACGAACGCUGGCGGCGUGCCUAACACAUGCAAGUCAACUUGACUGAAGGAGCAAUCUGACAGUAGAGUGGCGCAAGGGUGCGUAACGCGUAAGUAACUUGCCCCAAGGUAAGGAAUAACGUCGAGAAAUCGGCGCUAAUACCUCAUAAUGCAGCGGAUCCGCAUGGAUAUGUUGUUAAAGGUUUACCGCCUUGGGAUAGGCUUGCGUCUGAUUAGCUAGUUGGUGUGGUAACGGCACACCAAGGCUACGAUCAGUAACUGGUCUGAGAGGAUGAUCAGUCACACUGGAACUGAGACACGGUCCAGACUCCUACGGGAGGCAGCAGUGAGGAAUAUUGGGCAAUGCUCGAAAGAGUGACCCAGCAACGCCGCGUGGAGGAUGAAGGUAUUCUAUAUCGUAAACUCCUGUGAGAGCAGACGAAAGACAGAUUAUUAAUCUGGAUGACUGUAUGCUCAGAGGAAGCCCCGGCUAACUACG